UACGGAUUCCAACAGCUACCUCAUAACUCCAAGUCACCUCCUACUCUGGAAAGAAUCAUCGCUCAGGUACGGACACUGCUAUGCUUGAAUCUACACAAGGUGCAUGGAGUAAUGUGACUAAUCUGACCCAGCGAGUAAUAAUUAUAAAUAAUUACUGAAAUCAUAAAACCUCAUAAAGGCACAAGGACAUACUAUAUUAAAGCAGUAAAAUUAGUUAAGUAGUGAAACAGUGAAGUAUCAAAUAACUCCCUUUUAAAACUGGUAAAAACAGAUAAUUCAAUAGAUGAAAUAUAGAUAAAAAUCCGCCCCUCGGGCUUAGUAUCAAUCUCUCAUAACACUAACAGCCCCUCUGGCUCAAUAUCAGUCACUCACCAUAAUAUCAGCCCCUUGGGCUCACUCUCAACUCAUUUGGGUACCUGCGCUCGCUGUAGUGGUGCAGACUCCGGAGAGGCCCCUUACGGCCCAAGCGCUACAUCAAACCAUCUCGUGGCAUGUCAAAUAACUCAUGCCUCGGCCUCAUAUCACUCAAUAUAUCCUCACAUAUGCCCCUCGGACUCACAUAGUCCAGAAAACCAUCACAAGCCCCUCGGGCAUCAAUAGAACAAUAGUGCUCAGCUCAGCCAUCAUUUUUAAAUAUCUUUUAAGUCUCAAAUUUGAGUAAAAGCAGCUGAGUUUGUAAAAUAGUGUAAUUCCAUGGGACUGAGUUCAGGUAAUAUAUUAAGAAUAGUGAGGAAACAGUGAUAAAAGUCCACGACGGGUUCAAUAGUCGGCAUUAAGCCCAAAUAUAGCAAUAAGCAAAGUGAUAGAGAAAACAAAUAAGUCUUAGUCAAAUAACAGGUAAAGAUAUCAAUCGGGACAGACCAAGUCACAAUCCCCAAUAGUAAACGACCCCGCACUCUUUAUUAAGUGUGUGUCUCACAUCAAUAUAGUGCUACGUUGUGCAAUACGGGGUUUCAAACCCUCAGGACAUCAUUUUUAAUUAUUACUCACCUCAAGCCGUCCGAAUGCUAGAUCGUUAUGCCCUUUCCUCUCAAAUCGGCCUCCUCGAGCGUCGAAUCUGUCCAUGUAAUGACCCAACCGGUAUUUUGAGCUCCGACACGUAAUUCAAUAGUCUGAGGUCAUGAGCAGCUUCAUUUAAGGUAUAUUGAUUUGUGUGUAUGGUCAGAAUAAAAUUUUAGAAAGUUUGGAGUCAAAUCUAAAUGAAAAUUCUCAUUUCAGAAGCUUAAAAUUGAAUAAAUGAACUAAGAUUAGAUUUUGAGUAAAGGACCUCGGUAUUGGAAUUUGAAAGUUCCAAGAUGUUAGUAUGAUGAAUACGGACUUGGGCGUAUGGCCGGAUCAGGUUUUGGAUAACUCGAGAGCGUUUUGGCGCCUAUUAUGGAAGAUAGCAUUUUAGAAGUAAUUGCAUCAGUUUGGCUUAUUCUCAUUUUGAAAGCUUAAAAUUGAAAAAACGAACUAGGAUUGAUAUUUUGAGUAAAUGACAUCGGAAUCGGGAUUUGAAGGUUCCAGCAUGUUCCUAUGAUAAUUUCGGACUUGGGCGUAUGCCCGUAUCGGGUUUUGGAUAACCCGGGAGCAUUUUGACGACUAUUGUGGAAGAUAACAUUUUAGAAGAAAUUGUAUCGGUUUGGCUUAAAAUGCAUUUCAAUGUUAUUAAUAUCCGUUCGGGAUUACGAGACUGGGAGUAGCUCCGUAUGGUGAUUCUGGAUUUGGGAACGCGAUCGGAAGUGAAUUUGGAGGUCCGUAAGUUAUUUUGGAACCGUUUGGCUAAAUAAAGAAAAUUGAAGGUUUUUGAGAAAAUUCGACCUGAAGUAGAAAUUUUGAAAUCGAGGUCGGAAUGUGAUCCUGAAAGUUGAGACAAGUCCGUAAUAUCGAAUGUGACUUGUGUGCAAAAUUUGAAGUCAUUCCUGAAUGAUUUUGGUAAGGUUUGAGGGUAUAUUUUAAGGAAGCUUAAGUUGGAAAAGUCAACCGGAUAUUAACUUAUAUGUUAGAGCGCUCAAAAUGUAAAUUUUAUGGUUUGGAUAGCUUCGUUAGGUGAUUUGUGACUUAGGACUGUGUCCGGAAUAUUUUUGUGAUGACCGGUGUAGAAUUAAGCUUGAAUCGGCAAAUUAGUAUUUUGGCGAAUUUCAGUUGAUAGGUAAGAUUUUGAUCCAAGGCUCAGAAUCGAAUUCCGAAAGUUGUUGCAGCUUCGUUACGUCAUUUUGGACUUGUCUGCAAAAAUUUGAGGUCAUUCGAACUAGUUUUGACAUGUUCCGGCAUUGGAUGUGGAAGUUAGAAAUUUCAAAGUUCAUAGGCUUGAAUCGAAUGCGAAUUCCGUGUUGUUAUAUUGUUUUGAGCGUUCCGAAGGUUGGAACAAGUUUGAAUGAUGUUAUAGAAUAUAUUGGCAUGUUUGGUUGAGGUCUCAGUGGCCUCGGGUGAGUUUUGGGUGGUUAAACGGAGUAUUUCAUCUUAACACAAUUGCAGAUUUUGCUUCAGCUGUGCAGCAGAUUUCUGGUGCGAGAAGUCCAAUUCGGAAGCUCAUAUCUUUCAAUCUAUAAGGAAUCCGAACAAGUGCAAAACACGAAAGUUAUAGUCCUUACAUUCUAGUUUUUAGAAAGUUAAACCAUUUGUCAUUUGGAUAUUGUAUCAAAAGGUUAUGAUGGAUCGAAAAUGGCUGCUGGAGCAAUUUCGACCGAAUUUAGUGAUGCACUUUAGAAGCUCAUAUCUCGGGAUAUAUAAAGAGUAUGAUGUACAACCUAUCAAAUUAAAGAUAUUUGAGUAUAGUUUCUAAAUCUUCAAACCGUUUGUCAUUUGAAUAUUUAUUCAAUACGCUAUAAGUGUUUAAAAAGAAGGUGUCUAACAAGGAAUAAUUUUAAUAGGAUGUACAACUUGUAUAGCACAAGUGCAAGGUACAACUCGACGAAGCACGAGCAGAUUCUUUUAAACACGAAUUUGGCUCAUUUCUUUCAUUUCUUUCAUUUUGUUUGGAUCAUUUUGGAGAGAAUUUCAAGGGGAAUUUCAUCAAGCAUCAAAGGUGAGUUGUUUCUACUUAUUUCCAAGUUAGGUUUGGAUUAUUUUAGAGUGAAUUUCAAGGGGAUUUAAUCAAGCAUCAAAAGUGAGUUAUUUCUACUUAUUUCCACGUUAAAUACAUGGAUUAGAACUGAAAACUCAAGUAAUUUAUGCACAAAAUGGUGGUUUAGGGCUUAAAACUUAAGAGAAUUAAAUAGAGAUUUGAGGCAUCAUUUGAACUCCAAUUUUGGUAAAUUUGAUAUGUAUGGACUCGUGACGAGAUGAGGAAUCCGGUAAUGUGAAUUUUGUUAUUUUUCGAGAAGUGGGCCCGGGGCUCGGGUUUUGCUAGUUUUGAGAUUGUUGCUAUUUCUCAACUAUUUUAAAUUGGGUAUUGUCCCAUUAGCAUAUUGUGAUGAAUUCGCUCUGUUUGUGGGUAUAUAUGACGCGCGUGGAGGUCGAUUUGAGGAGCAAAGGCGUCGCGAGCUAGAGGUUUCGUCUGUUCGAGGUGAGUAAUACUUGCAAAUAAUAUCUUGAGGGUUUGAAACCCCGGAUUUGCACAUCAUGGUGCAGUAUUGAGGUGACUUGCACGCCGGAUAUGAGCGUGGGGUAGAGAACCAUUGGAGAUUGUGACUUGGUUCGUCCCGGUUAUUGAUUUUAUUGCGUAUUUGACUGAAAUUACUUUUUAUAAUCAUAAUUUGGGCUGAUUGCCAUGUUUGGGGCCUUGUGCCAACUUGUAGAAUCCUUCGGGAUUGAUAUUACUGUUUUAGCAUAAUUUGCAUAUCAUACGGUCUCAGACCAAGGUUUUGAAUACUAUUUUCCAAACCCAGCCAUAUUUCUAAGCUUUGAAAUUUCAAAUGAUAUUUUAAGUGUUAUUUCGGGCUGAGGACUACUGAUUUAUAAAUGCCCAUGGGGCUCAUGAUGGUUUUUGCACCGUGCAUGGAUCGGGCUUCGCGCUGCAGCAGUAUUAUACUGAGAUGAGCAUGGAUCGAGCUGCGCACCGCAAUAGUGUAUAUAUAUUGGAUCGUACUCCACACUGUAGUAGCAUUGUGCUUGGGCUGUAGAAGCACCUCCGGAGUCUGUACAUACACACUAUUGAGCGCCGUCAAUAAUGAAUAAAUGGAGUGGGCUGCACGCCGCAACGAGUACUAGAGUGUACUGUCAUAUGCAUUGCAUUGCACUCAUGCAUUUGUUCUUAUUUCGUAAUGUUAUCAUGACAUUCAGCACUCAUAUUAUUGGCAUCCAUGCUACUUCUUGCACUGUUUACCAGAUACUCUUGUGUUAUUUGUUAAUGGAGUGUUGUGCCCAAGAGGCUGAUGUUGUACUUUGUGAGUUGGGAGUGAGCCAGCGGGGCUGAUACUGUACUGAGAGGUUGAUAUUUAGCCUGAGGGGUGGAUUUCUGAUUAUUCCCUACUUAUUGAAAUUAUUUUUGCAACUGUUGAAAAGGAAUAUUUUCAAAAGAGGUUUUUACCGCGCCAAGAUGUUUUACAAAUGAUUUUCACGAUUUUACUGUUUCUUCCCAGAAAGGGUUGUAAUGUUCUAUAUAGCAUGAUGGAAUGCCUUACGUGAUUUCUUACUUUCAGCUAUUAUUUACUCUUAGUACCGCUGAGUUGGAAGUACUGACUUUACUCCCUGCACCUCGCGUGCAGUUGCAGGUAUUGUUCGUCCGGUAGCGGGUUCUUAGCGGAUUGAAGAACUGUUAUCGUAGCUGAGCUAGGUGACCGCUAGCGUCUGCGGCACCGGAUCUCCUCCCUUAUUUUAUGUUGUUCAUAAUAUUUUUCAGACCUUUUUCCUAGUACUGUACUUGUAAUACUUUAGUGGACUAUGUAGUAGCUCAUGAUAGGUGACACCCCGAUGUCGGGCCGUGUUGGGUUGUAUUCCACGAACUCUUGUUAUUUAAUUUACUUGAAACUGUUUAUUCAUGUAAUUUGUUGUUGAAAAAAGUUGUUUAAAUGGAUUGGAUGGCCUUGUCUUCAUGAGAGGCGCUAUCACGAUCGGGAUUUUGGUACAGACUCCGGAGGUAUCAGAGCCUAGGCUACUAGGUUUCACGCAUCAUGAGUAGGUUAAGUAAAGACUCGCGGAUCGGUACGAAGACGUCUGUAUUUAUCCUCGAGAGGCUGCAGAACCUUUAGGAAAACUUAAAUUUCUUGAAAUUAUUAUCGUGCGUACUUGAUUCAGCUUGAGAUAUUACCUCCUGAAAUUCCUUCCACACGUCAGUAUGCCAACGUGAGCGUUCAGUAUCAUAUGUGCCUUGAUGGCUUCUGAUUCCCCGAUCGAGGGGCGAGGUGUAAUAUCUGUGAGUUUGAUGUUAGGCCAGUCUAGAGGACUUGAGGCCGAAUCGUUGCUAAUAGCUUAAGCACAGAGGUGCUAAUUGUGCGAGCAAGUGUUUUGAACUUAUAUGUCUGGUAUUGUCCCUAUUAGUGAGAAUGAUGGUUCGAUAGCUAUGUGGGUAGUAUGUUAGUACUGCGAUAUGCAUCUAUAUGUCUUGGAAAGUGACGAGGAAUGUCUACUAUAUGAUAGAUGAACUACUGAGUGUAUGAUUUCCAUUGUGACGGGAUAUGUAUUCCAAGUUAUGGGCGCGUGAAGAUAUUUUCCUGGCUCUUGUUUGGAAUGAAGUAAAUAUCAUGUUACGGUUUGAGUCCAGACUCAAGAAAACUGGUUGACUGUGCAAUGUGCAUAAUGGUGUAAGGUAUACCGAAUUGUUAUAUUAAGAUUAAUGUAAUUGACAUUCAUUGUGAUGCUUUGUCAAGUUGUGGAUGUGUUGUUAGGAUGGUUUUGGUGAUUCUCUGGCCGGUGGAUGGGACCAAUUACAAAGGAGGCUCUGCCGAAAUUUUUGAAAAUUUUGGGACUUAGUAAAAACAUAUAUUUGGUCGCCUAAAGAGUGGGCUUAACUGUUGUAUAAGUAAAUGCAAGAAUUGCAGAAGAGUUAAAAUUCUAGAUGAUUCGUGUUUCCACGAACUUAUGAUGGAGUGAGUUUAAUCUCACCAUGAUAUUAUGACAACAAUAGAGUAUAUGUGUUGUGAUCUAUGGCUUCGAGCCAAGUUGGGGAGCUUGCUGUUUAUUAGCUGAUUGCAAGGUUUAUUACCUGCGUGAAUUCUGGUUAUGGGCGUAUUAGUGGGUUAUUGCAGCUACGAAAGAGGACCAUGAGUGGUAAUUUGAGUUAAUGAAUUGUUGGAUGCAUGCUAUGGUUAGCCUUAUUAGAUCAUGUUCAGACUUGAGGGAAGAUUCAUGAUUUAUGCCUCGUAUAGGUGCGCAGGCUUCGAGGGAAGUGAUUCCGUUGGGUGCUUUAUCGAGAUGGUAUUCACAUGUUAUAAAAUUCAGUAGAGUUGGUUGCAUUCGGGGCCAAGUCAGAGCUGGGUGGCUCUCAAUAACGGUCCUAGUUAAUUCAAGAGGUAAAGUGUGGUGCCUAAUGAUUUUGAGUCUGUAAGUACGAUUAAGAGUCAAGCUUUUGAAGCAGCUUAUGAAGAAAGGCACAUAAUGUUCUAUGAUGUUUUGACUUGCAGUGUAGCAUUUGAGAGACAUGAAAUGGUCAUGGUAUUUGAGACAGUAUGGUCUCGUGAUUUAAGGUCACUCGGGGUGAGUGCGAUUGAAAUAAGUUAGAUGUUAAGGGAGAUAUUAUUAUCUCUAAGGCAAUCAAGGAUAAAUUGGAAGGAAGUAGAUUGAUUAGCCAUAUUUGAGUUUGCAUAUUGGGGUCAAUGAUCAGUUCGUUCAGCGUGAUUGAGUUAUGCAUGUGAUUGUGGCGGAGCAUGUGAGGCUUGCCGGCGGUAGUGAUUGAUGUUAUUCUGAAGCAUUCUUUCGUUAGGUAUAUUAUGAGUAGGUGGAUCCCAGAAAGUGUUAUGGUGGCUUGGACAACUACUUAGAGAUUGGCAUGUUCGACUAUUAUGAGAAUUCGCCUGUAUGCUGCAAUAUUCCCCUGAAGUGAGUUAAAUGGAAAGUCUUAUGUGAUGAAGUAUUAGCCUAUCAGCGGUUCCAGAGUUAUGAUGGAAAUAGCGUCUAUCCUAUAUUGGCACGUGAGGUGCAGUGAGUGGUAUAGAAAUUGAAGUAAGGACCAAGGUUACAGUUUGGUCAAUGACUGUGAUGUCACGAUCCCAGAUGAGCAGGAUAUGAGUUUCAGUAUUUUGAGUAAGAUGGGUAUUGACGUUAGUAUCACCUAAGAUCGGUGUUCUGUGAGAAGGGCUUUGCAUCCUGGUUAGGGAUUCUUGAUCGCUUUUUAGCGUUAGUGCAGCCGGUAAUUUGAAUAUGCAGACCCGUUAAUUAUUUCGGAAGAUGGUGGGAGCUUGUCCUACAGGAAUAGUAUAUAAGUGUGACAUGUAGUCACUUGAUUAAUUAGAAAUUUAAACCAAGUAUGAGGAUUUUGGNNNNNNNNNNNNNNNNNNNNNNNNNNNNNNNNNNNNNNNNNNNNNNNNNNNNNNNNNNNNNNNNNNNNNNNNNNNNNNNNNNNNNNNNNNNNNNNNNNNNNNNNNNNNNNNNNNNNNNNNGGGUUAUGGACCUGUGAAAUAUUAUUGGCCUAGCUUGGCACGAUCAGGAUCGACUUGAGGUUGGUGGAUAGAUUUAAAUGUGGAAGUGAGCCUUACGUUAGGCCAGUUGUGUUUUUUCAGCAACGCGCUCUUUAUGAAAGGAUAGUCACGGUCUUAUUUCAUGGUCAGCUAAUUUAUGUAAAGAUAUAUUGUACCGUAUGAGUUGUGAGAUGGCUUGGUAAAUUCCUUAUGUGUUGAGGUUCCGCUCAGCGGUGAUAUUAUAUGAGCAGGAUGGNNNNNNNNNNNNNNNNNNNNNNNNNNNNNNNNNNNNNNNNNNNNNNNNNNNNNNNNNNUAUAUAUUCAUAUUAUAUGAGCAGGAUGGCUCUUGAGACUAAGAUCAUGUAUCACACCUCAGUUGUGCUUGAGUUUGUAGCUUAUAAAGCUAUAUGUUUCCUUGGGAAUGGCAUUAUGCACCUUAGUGUGGUUAUGAUCGAUUCGGUGUUUUGAUGUGAUGAGCUUUUCAGCUCGAUGUAUAUCUCCUUAUGUGAGUUAUAUUUGUUGAUCAGGUGACACGCCGCCAUGGGUAAGUUGUUUGGAUCAUGUUUCGUGCUGCAACAGUAUGAUGUUCAAUACAUUCCCCCAUAUUUGCUUUUAUAUGUUUUGUAUCUCAUUUGUCCCAUAAUUCUAGUUCUUGCUGUGAACCCGCGUCGCAUGUAUGAGUCGCGAGCGGGGUAAUUAGAUCUCCUUUUCAGAGUUAGGCUUCCUUUUUGUAUCACAUUCCGAAUGGUAGCCUAUUGUCACGUUGUGGCAUCAUACAGGAUGUUUGAUUAGGUCCGAGGUGGCUUAUUGCCUGAACGGUUCGUACUAGGUGAAACCCGAUUAUUGAAUUUAGGACCAAUGCUGUCACACCUCCUUUUUCACUACACCCGCAAGGGCGUAAAGGAGUUUUUCCAAUAAAAGGACAAUUAGAACGAGAUUUGUUUAUUAUUUAUUCAGAGUCGCCACUUAGGAGAUUAAUGGUGUCCCAAAUCACCGAUUGAAUCCCGAACCGAUGAAAAAGAUGACUCUUUUCAUAGUCCGCGAAUCAGAAAUCCGAAUAAGGAAUUCUGUUAACCCGGGAGAAGGUCUUAGGCAUUCCCGGGUUCCGUGGUUCUAGCACGGUCGCUCAACUAUCAUAUUCGGCUUAUUUAUAUGAUUUUUACAAUUGUGCACUUAUAAGCAAAUUAAAACUCUUUUACCACUUUUAUUAUUAUCUUUAUCUGAUUUUAAUACAUGCUAUCCUAUGUGCUUUUUAUUUGUAAACCGCUUUUAUCAUUGUUUAUUUUGAAAGAAUUGCGACGUCGUGAAAACGCGUCUCUGACCACGUCGCCAUGAGGCACCUUUGGUCGUCAACACGUUUCAAAUUCGUCAAGAUUUGGAUUUGGGUCGCAUCAAUGCGCACCCGAGUUUAAGAAAGUAAUUUAAUUAAAUCGCACUUAAAGGUUCUAGCGUAAUAUUAUUUUGGGAAAGGCCGUUGAAAUUUGCUAAAUGGCCCUUCGAAAUUCUAAUUAUUUUUAAUAACUAAUUAUUGAGGGCCACAUAUUUAUUCUAGUUCGUGAGGCUCGCCUCCAUUUUUGAACCAUUUUCGACCAUUAUUUGUUUUAUAAGAAUUAUGACGUCAUGGAAAUGCUUUUCUAACCACGUCGCCAUCAAGGCACCCGCGGUUAUCAACACAUUUCGACUUCGUACAGAUUUGAAUUUGGGUUGCAUCAAUGCAUACCCGAGUUUAGGAAGUUACUUUAAUUAAAACCCGUCUAAAGAUUCUAUCGCAACAUUAUUUUGGGGAAGGCCGCGAAAUUCGCUAAACGGUCUUCCUAUAUUCUAAUCAAUUCUUAUAAUUGUUUAUCGAGGGCCCCGCAUUUAUUUUUAUUUGGCGAAGCUCAUCUCAAAUUAUCCUAAAGGGUUUAGUCAACUAAAACAAACUAUGGAUAUUCAUAUUCAUAGGCCAAAUUAUUGAAUUCUUUCACUAGUAAGCUAGUUCAUCAAUUAAGCAAAACGAUCACUGUUAUUACGCAUAUGACCGGAACAGCUCACUUAUAUGAUUCAAUGGCAUUUCGUAAUGAAUUAAACCAUACAUGACUACAUGAAAGGCUAACAAUAAGGAAAACACAAACUAAAUAAAUAAAAUAAAAAUGAGGAUAACAUUAACGGAAAGGAAUCCAAAAGGGAUAUCACGGUUUUUAAAUUAAUAAGAAACAAGUAAAUUUGCACAUAUGCAUAUAACUUACAACAUUGUCGUCAUCGUUACACUUGCAGUGCCGUAGUAUUUCUCAAAGAUUUCAGUGACGCAUUUCAUCAAGCACCUUCCACUCACUUUUAAGCCAAACUCAAACACUCUAUUAUAUAUUCGUAAUGAUAGUUCUGCUUCAUGCCUUUGUGGCAAAAUAAAACACGAUUUCAAUUUCAACAACACUCAAAUACUUCCACAAGUUAAUUAUUAGCUGAACCAAGUAAUCAAACUCACAUAGCACAACAAAAGGAAUUUAAUCCACUUCUCACAUAUUACAUAAAUCAAAAUCAUGUAUUCAUGUGCUCAAGAAUGUAUUUGAGAACACACUGAAGACCAAACCUUAAAUGCUAAGAAGAAAACCGAAUCAAAACAGACGUAAAUCGACGGAUCGGAGUAGUGAGCGGCAACCUCGAACGGAACAAUCAAUUUCGAACCCACACACAAACUCAAAUCACCUCCAUUUCAGGACGAAAAUCAAAGGACAAUACUUCUGUUUUUGAGGCGAAAGUCGAAAAAAAUAAAAGAAGAAAAUCAGAAUAUGUUUUCAUUUUUGUAUAAGAGACGGAAUCGCGACUGUUCUCUUCUAAUCUCUGUUUGUUUUGUUUUUCUUUUUGUCAAGGGAGAUGAUGACGAAUCAGAACAGAUGGGGUUCUAUGGUGAAGGUGUUACUAGUUUUGGGGUCUUUUGUUGUGGGGUGUGAUGAAGGAGACGAGCGGCUAGGAGGGGGGGGGUCUGUAUUUGUCAAAAGCUCCGCUCAUCCUUUUUUUUUUGUGUUGUUAGAAAUGGUUAUAUAGAGUUUGUGGAAUGAGGUGUUAUAUGCGGGAGUUUUAUUUGUGGAGAAGGUUGUCAGGUAAUAUUUUUAGGGGAAGGUUUUAGGUGGGGUAAUAUUUUGGGGCGAAGGUCUUAGGUGGGGAGAAAUGAUUUUGGGGAAAACAUUUUGGGGAAGGUUCUUCCCAUUUAUUUUAUUCCCAAUUUCUUUUAUCUUCCUCUCUUUUUUGUAUUUUAUUUAUUUAUUUUGUAUUUUAUUUUCUGAUU
rnacentral:lncRNA from 1 species